rnacentral:rRNA from 1 species
UACGAAGGGGGCUAGCGUUGCUCGGAAUCACUGGGCGUAAAGGGUGCGUAGGCGGGUCUUUAAGUCAGGGGUGAAAUCCUGGAGCUUAACUCCAGAACUGCCUUUGAUACUGAAGAUCUUGAGUUCGGGAGAGGUGAGUGGAACUGCGAGUGUAGAGGUGAAAUUCGUAGGUAUUCGCAAGAACACCAGUGGCGAAGGCGGCUCACUGGCCCGAUACUGACGCUGAGGCGCGAAAGCUAGGGGAGCAAACGGG